UGUUAUUUUUUUUACAUAAAAUUGAGAAUGGAAAUGGGGAAUGUGUCAAAGAGACAACAACCCGACCAAAUAAAAAACAACAGCAGAGGGUCACCAACAGGUCUUCAAUGUAGCGAGAAAUUCCCGCACCCGGAGGCGUCCUUCAGCUGGCCCAUAAACAAAUAUAUACUAGUCCAGUGAUAAUGAACGCCAUACGAAUUUCCAAAUUGUACACAAGAAAGUAAAAUUAAAAUAAUACAAGACUAACAAAGGCCAGAGGCUCCUGACUUGGGACAGGCGCAAAAAUGCGGCGGGGUUAAACAUGUUUGCGAGAUCUCAACCCUCCCCCUAUACCUCUAACCAAUGUAGAAAAGUAAACGCAUAACAAUACGCACAUUAAAAUUCCGUUCAAGAGAAGUCCGAGUCUGAUGUCAGAAGAUGUAACCAAAGAAAAUAAACAAAAUGACAAUAAUACAUAAAUAACAACAGACUACUAGCAGUUAACUGACAUGCCAGCUCCA
rnacentral:lncRNA from 1 species